GAGUAGGCGAUGGACUGGAGCUUUGGAAGUCAGUGCCUUGAAGGCUAUCUUAGCAGACGGUCGUCUGUGUCGUCUGCUCGCGUGACGUUUCUUGUGUUUCGUCUGCUACUUGUCACCGUUCAUCGGGCGAUUUUUUAGAUUUAUCUGGAUUCUCUACACUGCAAAUCAUUUCUGCAAUGCCCAGGAAGAAAGGCUACAUCAAGAGGAUGGCCGAAGCAGUUGAGAAAGCGAGAGAGGUGAAAAGGAGGAAACUGGACGAGCGUCAGCCAUUUUAACUCCACCACCAACAGCUGAUCCUCCCCAGCCAUCAACGAGCCAUAUGACCGCCACCACACCACUGCCUCCCUCCACCACUGGUGCUCCAACACAAACUCUCACCAGUUCAGUGCGUAGAAAGAUCAGUAUUAAAAAAAAAAGAAAAAGAAGGUGUACAAUAGCUGCUCUGCUGGAGCAUACUAGUCGCCGUGGGAUGUGGUCAACUUUAAAUGCCAUUUUCUCAAAAAUUUUGCAUUCAGCAGAUGGGAGAAGAGUCCAGGUAUCAAGAUUGCCCUAAAAUAAAAUUUUCAAUUAGUUA